rnacentral:rRNA from 1 species
GAGUUUGAUCCUGGCUCAGAACGAACGCUGGCGGCAGGCUUAACACAUGCAAGUCGAGCGAAGUCUUCGGACUUAGCGGCGGACGGGUGAGUAACGCGUGGGAACGUGCCCUUUGCUACGGAAUAGCCUCGGGAAACUGGGAGUAAUACCGUAUGUGCCCCCCCAAUCAAAUUUCAUUUGAUUGGUAAUUCGAGAGUUUUAUCGAAUGCCGGAUGGCAUUUGAUGGGGGGGGAAAGAUUUAUCGGCAAAGGAUCGGCCCGCGUUGGAUUAGGUAGUUGGUGGGGUAAUGGCCUACCAAGCCGACGAUCCAUAGCUGGUUUGAGAGGAUGAUCAGCCACACUGGGACUGAGACACGGCCCAGACUCCUACGGGAGGCAGCAGUGGGGAAUCUUGGACAAUGGGGGCAACCCUGAUCCAGCCAUGCCGCGUGAGCGAUGAAGGCCUUAGGGUUGUAAAGCUCUUUCGCCUGGAAGAUAAUGGACCGGACCAGAAAGAGCC